AACAUCGCGCACCUGCGGGAACCUGCGGAGGGAUCAUUGAAGAACGCAGCCGGUCGCGCAUGCAGUGUGCGUGUACGUCGUGGGCCACGCUAUUUGUGCCAAUUAUUAUGGAGAGGGCGCUGGUGCUGGUGCUGGCUGGCUAACUGUGGUUGGUUGGUUGGCAGUGGCAGCAGUGGGAUGUUAUAGUAUGGAACGAUUGACUGAGUGAGAUGGAUGGCGGUAGUAGUAGCAGCAGUAGUA
rnacentral:misc_RNA from 1 species